rnacentral:rRNA from 1 species
GAUGAACGCUGGCGGCGUGCCUAAUACAUGCAAGUCGAGCGAACAGACGAGGAGCUUGCUCCUCUGACGUUAGCGGCGGACGGGUGAGUAACACGUGGAUAACCUACCUAUAAGACUGGGAUAACUUCGGGAAACCGGAGCUAAUACCGGAUAAUAUAUUGAACCGCAUGGUUCAAUAGUGAAAGACGGUUUUGCUAUCACUUAUAGAUGGAUCCGCGCCGCAUUAGCUCGUUGGUAAGGUAACGGCUUACCAAGGCAACGAUGCGUAGCCGACCUGAGAGGGUGAUCGGCCACACUGGAACUGAGACACGGUCCAGACUCCUACGGGAGGCAGCAGUAGGGAAUCUUCCGCAAUGGGCGAAAGCCUGACGGAGCAACGCCGCGUGAGUGAUGAAGGUCUUCGGAUCGUAAAACUCUGUUAUUAGGGAAGAACAAAUGUGUAAGUAACUAUGCACGUCUUGACGGUACCUAAUCAGAAAGCCACGGCUAACUACGUG